UGGCUGGUGCUUCCACAUCUUAUUUGUUUGAUCUUCAGACAAUCCUGUUAAAUAGGCAGCGUUCCUCUCUUCACAGACAUUGAGAAAUAGCUCCCAAAGAAUCACCGUUUACCAGAUGAAGAAUAUAUACAUGAACAAAAAAGUCAAAUGCCCACCUUGCAUGUAUGAUUGGUUAGCGUAUUUGGAGAGAGAAGAUUGUCCUUAAAUCUUACUCAGUCCACCAGCAACUGCUCUGCUCCCUGGACAGAGCUUUUGCUUCUCUUUCUGCUGUAUCUUCCUGCAAGUGCUCACCACCAGUCCCACACGUACCAGGAGAACAUGGGGAAGGCUCGGAGCAACCCAAGUCUGCGGUCAGAACCAUUCAAGAAGACCUGUGCUAAUGAACCUAUUCAGAGUCUGGCAGGCAGGUUGCCUGAGACAAGGACGGGAUGCAGCAGAGACGCAGCAGGCAGUAGCUGCAGUCCACACCCCGAGAUGGCUGCAGGCUGAGGAUGAGCAAACGCUGCCAUCGGGAAAGGAGUCGGUGGACAUCAGGGCCCGGCCACCGAGCCUGGACCGUGCAA